AACAAAUUAUUCCAUGUGCAAUUCAUAUAUUAAGGCAUCGGUGAUGUACCUGUUUUAAAGGGCCUUUUUGUUUAAAUAGCAUGUUGGUAGUCUUAUCCAUUAAAGUCUAUUUACUUUCGAGCACCAUAAUAAGAACAGGGUAACCAAGAUCAGAGUUACAAGGGAGACCGUUGAGGUUGGCAUUCCCGAGAUGAGGUUCACAUUGGAGGAAGAACUGAACCCCACUUGCCUGUUUACAUUUAUUUGCCGGGAGAGAGACUUUAUACAAUUGUGCAACAACUACAGGUUGAAUGUUGUAGAUUCAGAAGACCUUUUUGAGCAGAUCUUGGAUAGUUUACAGGAUGUGAAGCAGUCAGG